GCCAGCAGCAUACCACCCUGCAUCCCACUGCUGGCUUGCUUCUGAAGCUAAGCAGGGUUGGUCCUGGACGGGAGACCAGAUGCUGCUGGAA
rnacentral:rRNA from 1 species